rnacentral:rRNA from 1 species
CAGCCGCCGCGGUAAAACGAAGGGGGCUAGCGUUGUUCGGAUUUACUGGGCGUAAAGCGCACGUAGGCGGACUUUUAAGUCAGGGGUGAAAUCCCGGGGCUCAACCCCGGAACUGCCUUUGAUACUGGAAGUCUUGAGUAUGGUAGAGGUGAGUGGAAUUCCGAGUGUAGAGGUGAAAUUCGUAGAUAUUCGGAGGAACACCAGUGGCGAAGGCGGCUCACUGGACCAUUACUGACGCUGAGGUGCGAAAGCGUGGGGAGCAAACAGGAUUAGAGACCCCUGUAGUCCCUGUCUCUUAUAC